UACGUAGGUGGCAAGCGUUGUCCGGAUUUAUUGGGUUUAAAGGGUGCGUAGGCGGCCAAUUAAGUCAGUGCUGAAAUACUCUAGCUUAACUAGAGGGGUGGCAUUGAUACUGAUUGGCUUGAGUGAAGUCGAAGUAGGCGGAAUUGACGGUGUAGCGGUGAAAUGCUUAGAUAUCGUCAAGAACACCGAUAGUGAAGACAGCUUACUAGACUUCAACUGACGCUGAGGCACGAAAGUGUGGGGAUCAAACAGGAUUAGAAACCCCCGUAGUCC
rnacentral:rRNA from 1 species